UACGUAGGGACCAAGCGUUGUUCGGAUUUACUGGGCGUAAAGGGCGGGUAGGCGGCCACCGCAAGUCAGUUGUGAAAUCUCCGGGCUUAACCCGGAAAGGUCAACUGAUACUGCGGGGCUAGAGUGCAGAAGGGGCAACUGGAAUUCUCGGUGUAGCGGUGAAAUGCGUAGAUAUCGAGAGGAACACCUGCGGCGAAGGCGGGUUGCUGGGCUGACACUGACGCUGAACUGCGAAAGCUAGGGGAGCGAACGGG
rnacentral:rRNA from 1 species